UAGUAUUCAGAGAUUUGUAGAAUCAGUGCCAAGGCACAUUGAAGCUGGUCUGGCUGCCUGUCGUAGCACAACACCUCACUAAGACACUUAAUGUUGAGACUGUCUUUUUUUACCUGCCUGUAUAUGUGUUUAUGAUUUACUUAAGAAUAGAAUAGUUCAAAUAUUCAGGAAAUGUUUUGUAAUUAAAGAAAGAGAGGCUUUUUGACUUUGAAUUAAGGUUUUCAAGUACUUAUUACUCAGGGUAUUAAUUGCUUAUUUUUUGUCCAUUUAAAUUAUUUCAGGGGAAGAGCUGGGGUUUGAUCCACUGGAAAAUGACACAAAGAUAUGACUCACGCUGGAGAAGAAAAGUUAGGAUUCCAGAAAAUACUUGCAAAAGAUACAGAAAAAAGCAGGACACACAAAGAGUGGAGAACUCAGAAUCAACAAACUGGAGGCCAGAUGGUUGCUGCACAGAAGGACUAGAGUGCCAUGCUACUCCUGAAUCUGCUGACUUCGCCCUUGAGGAACAUCCAUCAAUCAGGAAUUUGUGUGACAACAACAACCAUAGAUUUUCCCAAUGCUCUGAACACACAAAAGAGACACAUCACACUGGCCUUAAUGAAGAAUCAGAGAGUGAAGAUCCUUUUCACAUAGAUACAUUUGGUCACCCCCUACAUGAGUUUGUUGAGGAGGGAACUUUAGAUCAUAACCAGUCAUCUGAUGAUGACCUGACCUUUUGAUGAAGACCU